AUUGAACGCUGGCGGAAUGCUUUACACAUGCAAGUCGAACGGUAGAGGGGGCAACCCCUCGAGAGUGGCGAACGGGUGAGUAAUAUAUCGGAACGUGCCCAGUCGUGGGGGAUAACGAAGCGAAAGUUACGCUAAUACCGCAUACGAUCUAAGGAUGAAAGCGGGGUAUCGCAAGACCUCGCGCGAAUGGGACGGCCGAUAACAGAUUAGGUAGUUGGUGGGGUAAAGGCUAACCAAGCCAACGAUCUGUAGCUGGUCUGAGAGGACGACCAGCCACACUGUAACUGAGACACGGUCCAGACUCCUACGGGAGGCAGCAGUGGGGAAUUUUGGACAAUGGACGCAAGUCUGAUCCAGCCAUUCCGCGUGCAGGAAGAAGGCCCUCGGGUUGUAAACUGCUGUUGUACGGAACGAAAAGGUCUCUCUUAAUACGGGGGGCUCAUGACGGUACCGUAAGAAUAAGCACCGGCUAACUACGUGCCAGCAGCCGCAGUAA
rnacentral:rRNA from 1 species